UUUUGAAAGUGUAAAAAAAAAGGUCUUAGAACAGCCCAAGAUGGCCGACUUUGAUGACUGUGUGUCUGAUGAGAAGGUAGGCAUAGCUGCUAAAUUCAUCACUCAUGCACCCCCAGAAGAAUUUAGUGAAGUAUUCAAUGAUAUUCAGCUACUACUUAAUAAUGACAGUCUCCUCAGGGGAGGGGUAGCACAUGCAUUUGCCUAGUAUAACAUGGAUCAAUUCAAGCCUGUGAAGAUAGAAGGAUAUGAAGAUCAGGUCUUAAUUACCGAGCACAGUAACCUGGGUAAUAGCAGAUUUUUAGAUCAAGAAACAAAAUUUCCUUUAAAUUUGAUCACUUAUGGAAAGAAGCAGUGACCCCAUCCAGAAGAAUUAGAUGGAGGUCUGAAAUCUUGGAGAGAAUCCUGUGAUGGUGUUUUAAGAGCCUAUGUGAAAGACCAUUAUUCCAACGGUUUCUGUAUUGUCUAUGCUAAAACUAUUAAUGGACAACAGACUAUUACUGCACAUAUUGAAAGCCACUAGUUUCAGCCUAAAAACUUUUGGAAUGGUUGUUGGAGAUCAGAGUGGAAGUUCACCAUCACACCACCUACAACCCAGGUGGUUGGAGUGCUUAAGAUUCAGAAUGAAGCCCAAACUGCAAAGGAGUUUAUUAAAAUCAUAGAGAAUGCAGAAAAUGAGUAUCAGACAGCAAUUGGCGAAAACUAUCAAACAGUGUCAGAUACCAUGCUCAAGGCCUUGUGCUUGCAGCUUCCAGUUACCUGCACCAAAAUCGACUGGAACAAGAUAGUCAGCUACAAGAUUGGCCAAGAAAUGCAGAAUGCUUAAAGGCUGAAUGUAGGAUUCUUCAGUAUGUGGAAAGACAAAGAUUCAAUGUGUAGUCAUAUGAUAAAUAAGUGAUUUAUAAACAAGAGUGAUAUUUUGCUAGGGCUUUCAAAGUUAACUGGUUUUCUGGCCUCAUGGAAUACUGUUGAACCUAUAGCACUGUCUUGAUUCUUUUGUGUUCUCUGCCUUGUAGUUUUCUGUUAUUGCUAUAUCUAUAUGUAAACCUUUUUUUUUAUUAUUGUUAAUUCUGCCACAUUUAAUGUUGGUGAGAGAGAAAUCUAUCCUAAUGACAUUUUACUGUUUAAAACAGUUUCCUAGCCAUGAAGCCCUGUACUGAUUUAGACAAGGUAUUACGGUCAUUACUUUCUACCUCUAUCCUUCCAACCACUUCUGGUACUUCACUGGUUUUUACUGAUCCAUCAACACCUAAAGAGGCUAUGCUACAAUCUAUAGCUAAAUGGACACAUUCAUCCUUCUCCUUCUGACUGCUUUGAUCAUCAUUUAUUGCAUCUUAUAACUGUAAUUUUCCAAAGUUUGGAUUGGAACUUUUCAGGUCCUUUUUGGAGGGCAAAGGAAGUGUCAGCUUCUCUGCAGAACUUGUUUUUAAAUCCAAACACUUGAACCACAUUCCCUGCACAUGAACAUGUUUGCUUUUAUCCCUUCUCACAUUGUCUCCUUCCCAUCUUAGUACCAUUGUAGUUAUAGACGUCUGCAUUUUUAGAAGCAUUUUACCCAUUUUUUUAAACAUUCAGGAACUGCUGACAUACUGUGGAUAUAGAGUAUAAAACUUGAAAAAUGCAGAUGUUGAAGGAAUACUAGGUAUCUUGUGCUUUAAUACUUUAUGGCAGGAUUGUACUAUAAGCAAAUGAAUUAAACAUCUAUGUAAGUCAUAAAAACUUAAAAUGAACCAAAGUGAAAAGGAUAACUUCUAGGCAGUGUCUUUCUGUUGUAACCUGUUAUUUAAGGAAAUACUAGUGUUUUCCUCUAAACAGGAUGUAAAACUUAUUUCAAAUCACUCUUUCUCGGUUCUGCCUGCCAAGAAAUCAAGUGUAACUGUGAUAAAAUAACAUUUCUCAGGUAUAUUGGCAGGUAUGUGUGUAAUCUCAGAAUACACAGGUGACAUAGAUAUGAUAUGACAACUGGUAAUAGUGGAUUAAUUUACAUUGUUUAUACGUCUGCAACCAGGCCUUAAGGGAAGAUCAGAUUUUUAAAAAACCAAGUAGUGUCUUCCUACCUAUCUCCAGAUACAUGUCAAAAAUAAAAGGUGUUUGUGCUUACAUUUUGUUUCUGCUCAGUAAUAUAGUCAAGCAAAAGUUUAUUUCCAAACAGUUUGUUACUCAUUGAGCUGUGUAUGCAUUUUUGUUUAUUUCAAAUGAAAUGUAUUUGUAUUGUCAUUCACACUAUCCAUCCAUACCACACUAUCUUCUGUAUCAGGUAGUCUAAUAGAAAUAUACCUGUUUUGUUCUAAAAAAAAGUCUUAUGAAUCUAUAAGAUGUACUUCCAUCACCAUUCCUAAUAUGUCUAUGUAUCUAGGAGCUGUGUACAUAAUGUUUCACUAUUAAAAAUAUACAAAACUCUAAUUAAUUGGCUUAAGAAAAAUA
rnacentral:lncRNA from 1 species